GGGCAGCGCGUCCCCGCCGGGCACGGCCCGACCGGACAGCGCCG
rnacentral:misc_RNA from 1 species